rnacentral:rRNA from 1 species
AUUGAACGCUGGCGGCAGGCCUAACACAUGCAAGUCGAGCGGAGCGGCGGGCGGGUGAGUAAUGCCUAGGAAUCUGCCUGGUAGUGGGGGAUAACGUCAGGAAACGAGCGCUAAUAUCGCAUACUAUCAGAUGAGCCUAGGUCGGAUUAGCUAGUUGGUGGGGUAAAGGCCUACCAGGGCGACGAUCCGUAACUGGGCUGAGAGGAGGAUCAGUCACACUGUAACGGAGACACGGGCAAGCCUCCUACGGGAGGCAGCAGUGGAGAAUAUGGGACAAUGGGCGAAAGCCUGAUCCAGCCAUGCCGCGUGUGUGAAGAAGGUCUGCGGGUUGUAAAGCACUUUAAGUUGGGAGGCGGUACCAACAGAAGAAGCACCGGCUAACUUCGUGCCAGCAGCCGCGGUAAUAC